rnacentral:lncRNA from 1 species
AGGUACAUUGACGUAGAGCGCGCGUCGUGGACUCCAAAGCCUCCGGCCCUCCUCGCAACCCCGCGAGCCUACUGAUAGCAAAUUUCGUGCUUCAUCAAAAAUCAGCUGGAUGCCGAAGAAAUCUGUCGUCUUUACAUUUGGAAUGGUGCCAUAUCAUGUCUUCAGAAAUUUUGGAACACAAAUACAAUCUCUUCAAACGUGGAAUCAACGGAAAGUGACGAAGACAUUUCGCUGGAACACGUUUGUUUUUCUGAACGCCAUCGACGACCCACCUACACGUUCCGCAAUUCGGG